UUACUGUGUGCCCAAGUACCUUCAGUCUUUUUAGACAGCUCCUCAAAGAAGCCUGCCAGGUGCCUACUCAACAGGUGAACAAGCAAGAUUUCGAAGCAACAUGUAUCCACUAUGUAAAGGACCUGCUUGCAGAGUGACUAAGAAUCACAGGGGAACAGACUAAGGGUUCAUCAGCCUCCCUGUAUCAGCUGCCUGCACCUGGGUAUCCAGUGUCUAUCCUGCUCUGUAUCUCUGAGAGACUUUGGACUUCAUUGCACCGCAUCAAGAAACCAAACAUCACCAAGAGACCAGGACUGUCUUGUCCUUGCCCUGCAAACAUCAUCAUGCACUUGUGCCCAGAACAAAGAGUGGAAAGGUACACCCAGACAUUUGCAAUCUGAAAACACUUACCCCAAACUGUGCAAGCAGCAAGAGAAAGCCAGACCAGAGGGUAGGGCCACAUUGUGGGUGGACAGGACUCCGCGGGUCUGUGAGGUACCUGCCGCUGCCCUAGCAAUGCUUCUGCUGUGGACCCAGGGACCCGCCUCCUCAAAUCUUGCUCAACCAGCCCAGUUAUGUAAUCUUAGAUGACAAAAAAGCUCUCCUCUUCCAAAGAGCUCCCUGGGUCAGUUGGGACCUCCAAGCCACGCCCACCAAGAGUUUACCCACUUUAUUCUGAACAGUCAGUACCCAAUACUCAGAUUACAAAUGGCCAGGAACUCAUCCAACUGCUUCUUAUGUAAGCACUUCUCCUCACAACGCUCUUUGCUCUCACCUCAGCACACCUUAAACUCUCACUAGCAGGAAGCAGCAAGCGAGUGCCUGCAAGUUUGGGGGAGUUUGGGCCAGCCUCCCGGGACUGUCAUUUCCUAGAAUCCAUGUCUCAAGUUUGGAAGGAAUCUCACCCUCUAUCAUUCUUCAGAUGAUUCCAAAAUUAUCUUUGCAGUACUCCUGCCGAGUGACCGGCCCACCACACGGCACCUUCAGGGUCAAGGAAAUCUACCCUUCAGAGAGAGGCCUUUUGAACACAAUGUUCUUGCAGUAAAUGAGCUCCACCGAUCACAAUCCUUGCCUCUAAGUGUCCAUGCAUACACAGAUUCUUCAAAUACUCACAAGCUGCAUGGCCUCUCUUUUCAUAGGAACCUACAACAGCAGGUGGCAGUAGGUGCAGCUCCAGAAUUGCUGGCUCUCGCCUGUUUCAAGGAUGUCACCUCUUUAUGCUUUCGUGUCCGGGUACCUCUAUUCACACCCCUGUUGUGUAUUUGGUUUGUUUUACUUAAUCAUUUAUUUUUAAGUCUUUGAGAUGCAUCACUGGGUUGUUUUUCCAUUUUCAUUUGGUUCUAAGAAUCUUUAAUUAGUUAAAAAUUGGGAGAUUUCAACUGAUUCAUUUUGGAAAAAGUUCAUGAACUGAUGGAAUAAUAGAUGCUCUACAGUUCUGUGAGGGACUGUUCUGUAACUUUAAGUCCAUUUGUGCACACUUAUGUCUUUUGUACAUUUAGACAGUCAUGACAUAACUACUUUUGCUCUGAGUCCCGUGUGUUGUACUUCCGUUUUCAUUUCUUUUAAGAGAUUUUGUAAUCCUCUCCCUCUUCCCCCUAUUUCUUCGAUGAAUCAUUGUUCAUUGCAAAUUACAUUGCUCAAUCUCCAUUAUGCAUACUUUCCAUGAUUUUUUAUUUCAUUCUCUUAUGAUCUGACACAAUGAAAGAAGUUAUUGUAGUUUUUAUAUUUAUAUUUAUAAAUUCUUUGUUUGCUAAGACUUACUUUAUUAUCUAAAAUAUGACCUGUUUGGAAAACAUUCCAUAAGAAGAUGAAAUGAAUGUGGAUUCCGUGUCUGUUAGAUGGAAUUCUCUGUACAUUUCUGUGAAGUCCAUAUGAGGUAUUGGGUAAUUUAAUUCUACUGUUUGUUGACUUUUUUAUUUCGAUGAUCUCCCUGUUGGUAGGAGGAGAAUAUUGAAAUCACCCGUGGUUGUUGUGCUAGAGCUCCUGACAUUACUGCUAUAGCAUUGGUACCCUAACAUUGUGUGUAUUUGCAAUAAUUGUGUUUUGUGA